rnacentral:rRNA from 1 species
AGCGAACGCUGGCGGCAGGCCUAACACAUGCAAGUCGAGCGCCCAGCAAUGGGAGCGGCAGACGGGUGAGUAACGCGUGGGGAUCUGCCCAAUGGUACGGAAUAACCCAGGGAAACUUGGAUUAAUACCGUAUGUGCCCUUCGGGGGAAAGAUUUAUCGCCAUUGGAUGAACCCGCGUCGGAUUAGCCAGUAGGUGAGGUAAAGGCUCACCAAGGCGACGAUCCGUAGCUGGUCUGAGAGGAUGAUCAGCCACACUGGGACUGAGACACGGCCAGACUCCUACGGGAGGCAGCAGUGGGGAAUAUUGGACAAUGGGCGCAAGCCUGAUCCAGCCAUGCCGCGUGAGUGAUGAAGGCCUUAGGGUUGUAAAGCUCUUUCGCCGGUGAAGAUAAUGACGGUAACCGGAGAAGAAGCCCCGGCUAACUUCGUGCCAGCCGCCGCCGUAA